UCGCGCCUAUCCCGGCCUCACGCCUACACCUUCUUGCGGCUGCGUUGCGAAACUACCUCGCCACCUACUCGAGUGACUGGGGGGCCAAUGGCCCACACACAAGGGUCCCGUCUGUUGCCCGGUAACAGGGUGUGGCGAAGGUUCAAGGAAAUCGGGAAUGGGGGCGCGAGCUCUGGCGCUCAAACGCGUGUGACUUUGGGCCGGUCCCCUCACCUGUAAAAGGGAGAUGCUUCGUGGGAUCAGAAAGGUUCAGUAACAAAGCGGACGUCUGGUGGUGGUGAGGAGACCGGAACCCAGAUCCAGCGAGGAGCGGCGCUGGAAGAGAUUCCUGAAGCCAUUCCAGAUUGUGUAUUGAUUAUUUUCAUCGACAACACCAACACCUGGAAACGCCCUUGAAUGACCUCCAAAGCCUCCCAAAUGACAUGGGAGCAGAGAACCUCAAAGUGUGUGCCUGGCAACAGAUCACCCGGCUGCCCCGGGGCUGCUGAGACUGGAACCCGGUUUAGAAGAUGCCAAAGCCUGUGCUGCUUCCACUCCAUGUACACUGCCCCCCUUCUGGGGCAGAGAAAGACGACAGAGUAGGAAAAAUAAAAGUACCAGACGCUUAACGGAAGACACAACAGGUGAGCAAUCAUCUGAUUCAUAAAAAGAGGCAACGAAUUUUUUCUUAAUUGAAGUAUAGUUGAUUUACAAUGUUGUGUUAGUUUCUGGUGUACAGCAAAGUGACAACAAAUGUUUAAAUGAUACAAAAUAGCAUUUUCAAAACAAAGAGUAACUGUAUUUAACCAUACUCAGCUCAUAACAGAGCAAGAGGGUGAGUGGAAUAAUCAUUCACGCUGGGACUUCCGGGUGGCGCAGUGGUUAAGAAUCCACCUGCCAACGCAGGGGACAUGGGUUCAAGCGCGCUGGCCCGGGAAUAUCCACAUGCCGCAGAGCAACAGAGCCCGUGUGCCACAACUACUGAGCCUGUGCUCUAGAGCCCGCAAGCCACAACUACUGAGCCCGCGUGCCACAACUACUGAAGCCUGUGCGCCUAGAGCCCGUGCUCCGCAACA